rnacentral:tRNA from 1 species
GGCGCAUUCGUCUAGAGGCCUAGGACACGGCCCUCUCAAGGCCGGUACACGGGUUCGAAUCCCGUAUGCGCUG